UACGUAGGAGGCGAGCGUUGUCCGGAUUUACUGGGCGUAAAGCGCGCGCAGGCGGCAUACCAAGUACGGUGUGAAAUCUCCCUGCUCAACGGGGAGUAUGCAUUGUAAACUGGUAAGCUAGAGGACGGUAGAGGGGGGUAGAAUUGCUGGUGUAGCGGUGAAAUGCGUAGAGAUCAGCAGGAAUACCCGUGGCGAAGGCGGCCCCCUGGGCCGAACCUGACGCUGAGGCGCGAAGGCUAGGGGAGCGAACGGG
rnacentral:rRNA from 1 species